rnacentral:rRNA from 1 species
CAGUCGCCACGGGAAUGCGUAGGUGGCGAGCGUUGUCCGGAAUCAUUGGGCGUAAAGGGAGCGCAGGCGGGCAUGUAAGUCUUUCUUAAAAGUUCGGGGCUCAACCCCGUGAUGGGAAAGAAACUACAUGUCUUGAGUACAGGAGAGGAAAGCGGAAUUCCCAGUGUAGCGGUGAAAUGCGUAGAUAUUGGGAGGAACACCAGUGGCGAAGGCGGCUUUCUGGACUGCAACUGACGCUGGGGCUCGAAAGCCAGGGGAGCGAACGGGAUUAGAGACCCCCGUAGUCCCUGUCUCUUAUACA